CAUGUCUGUUCUAUUUGCCACAAGGCUUUUCCUACUGGUCAAGCUUUGGGUGGGCACAAGCGCCGCCACUAUGAAGGCAAACUCGGUGGUAACAGCCGCGACUUAGGCGGCGGCGGCGGCGGCGGUCAUAGUGGAAGCGUCUUGACUACUUCAGACGGAGGCGCGUCGACUCACACGCUUCGUGACUUUGACCUGAACAUGCCUGCUUCGCCGGAAUUGCAACUGGGUCUGAGUAUUGACUGCGGACGGAAAAGUCAACUGUUGCCGAUUGACCAAGAGGUGGAAAGUCCCAUGCCUGCAAAGAAACCGCGUUUAUUGUUUUCGUUGGGUUGAAAAUUCUUUAGGAGAAUUGAAUUGAUUGUGUUUUUAGCCAAAUUAGUAAAUUGGUUCAUGUGAUUUUAUUUUUAUUUUUAGGAAAAGGAAUUAUUGAUUGUUUUACCCUUUUAUUCUUCGGGUGCUAUUGUGUACAGGGAGUAGGUCAUUCAUUGGUUUUACACACUCUUAAUUAUAUAUUCUUUUUUUAAAAAUUUUAUAUUUACACACACAUUUAUUUAUCUCUAUUUAUUAUGAAUUCAUCAUUCUUUUACUCAAUCAUUUGAAGUGUUAAUAAACAAAUUUUUGCGAUAUAAUAAUUUAGGGCCUUUCGGUAUGUAAGGUGGAAAUUAAAAGGACGCGCGGUUGGAUAGUAAUGGUGGUGCAUGCCAUAGCACGACCCAGAAUAAUUCUCUGUGGGUGGUGAAUAAAAGGUUGUCCAUGUGCGUUUAUUUCUAAUUCCACGUUCUAAUCAGUAUUAUUACUAGUAAAAUACUCACGUUUCAAUUUAGAUGAGAUAAUUUGAUUCGACACGGAGUUUAAAGAAAAAAAGAAGACUUUUGAAACUUGUGUCUUAAAAAUUUAAGGGGUAAAAAUUUUGUGGGGCCGUAACAUUUGUGUGGUUAUAAAAAUUUCUUAUUAAGGGUAAAAUUGAUAAAAUAAAAAGUUUAAAGUUGAAUUAUUUUUAAAUUUAAAAAUUUAUCAUUUAUUUUUAAACAUACUAAAAAGGAAAAUACCUCUAACUUUAAACGGAGGGAAUAGUUGGUGGAAAAAAAAACAAGCAAAAUAGUUGGUCUUGCCUCUAAUAUUUGCUCCAUCUCAAUUUAUUUUCAUGACCAAUUUUAGCAACGAAUGGUGCAUUGGAGUGUUUCUGACCAGGAGUUAAUUAUUUUCAUAAAAUUAAGUAUAAUACAUUGUUUUUUUGAGUGUAUAAUUUGAGUUGAAAGUAAUGAUUUAGUUAAAUAUGCAGAACGUAUAUUUGAUUUGUCUCUGUUGCCAACAAAACAAAAACAAAAGUUGGCCAGUAAAAUUGUUGAUAGGAAUAGUGAAAAUUAAUAAAAGCCUUUUCCCAUUGAAAUCUGGAUAUGCUCUAGCGUGAAAUCUCUGUGUGCGUAACAAGGAAUGCAACGUGUAGAGUACGUGCAGCGUGAAUGUGGUUUUAUAUAUAUUCUUGAGCACCACAUUACGCGGCUUGGAAUUCUUUGAAUUAUUUUUAAGGAGUGGAAACUGUGUACAAGUCAUCCCUUUCAGUUGAUAGAAUAUUACGAAUGGUAGAUGAGACUGUUUUGUAAGUUUGAGUUGUCAACAACUUCCUGCUUUCUCCUACUAAUUCUUAUCUGUCACUCACAAGAAUUGUAUAACAAAGUAGAGAAUUGUAUAACAAAGUAGAGAAUUGGGGGUGUUUGCCCUUUGCCUGCCAGGCAAGACUCGUGAUGCUUCUUUGCUUUCCUUUGCUGUAUUACGGCGUUUAUACCUUGGGUAUUAAGUAAUCUAAGUAUGUGUCUUUACGUUACAGCCUCGCCGGAUGCACAUAUUCCGGCGGUGGAUACUAGCUAACGCAUUCACAUCCUCUCGAAUAGAGAAUAAUUGGUGCUGGUACGAUAACACGAUACUUACAUCAAAUCAAUAAAUAUAUAUUAACUUAUUUUUGCACUUAAUUGGCCGAGGUCUAUAAUUUCAUGUAUGGCACAUUUCCUUUUUAGUUUGUUUCGGAAGAAUAAUAUCAUACCCUCUAUAAAUUUCUAGAAAAAAAAAUAAUUUUAACUUCCUAUAUUAUCAUUUACAAUAUACUAUAUUUUUUGGUUAAAAGGGAAAAGUUUUAUUAUCCAAAAAGUAAGUAUACACACCACCUGCUCAUUGGAUCUCACAAAAAUAACCAAAAUCAAAUCCAUCUAAAGUAUUCUGUGCUACACUAUUAACUACUGAAUUUCUCGUCUAGCAAGGAUAUAAAUCCAGUAGCUUCCUUUAGUGAAAUAGGAUUCCUACUAACAUGAAAAACCAUGUAAUCUAUCCUAACAUUUGUUUCCAUUUAUAUUAUCUAUUUCCCAGAUUAUGCAACUGCAAUGCAAUUUCUCUAACUAUGUCAAAAUUGUCUCUCCUUGUAUAUAUGUUGAAAUCUUUUACCGUUCCUUUCCAUCCAAAACCUCAGACCACCUCUUCUUCCCACUGGCCUACAUGUCCACUAAUGCCAAACCAGUUUAACAGCUUCUGCCAAAUAAAUGCAGAAUAUUUCAUAACCACGAAAAUUUCAUACUCCCUUUGGUUCACAAGCAGUGACCAUUUUACAUUUUUAUUUUGUUCCAAAAUAAGUGUCCAUUUAUAUAAUCAAGAAGGAACUAAUUUUAUUUUUUUAUGGUUUUAAGGAUAUGUAAUUUGAUACAGAGUAAUAAAUCAGAUUGAUUAUAAAAUAAAAAAUAAAAAGAUAAAUGCAAACCACGCAAGUUUGAGCAAUUCUAACCUUGUGAGAUUAAUCUCCCCCGAGCUAGAAAUAAUAUUAUUGAUGUUGCAGUGCAAUGAACUAUGACGAAGAUAGAAAUAACAAGAUAUAGCCUUUUGAUAUGAGUUACCAUGUAUUUCAUGAAUUGUCAAGUUCCCUUUAUAUAUUG
rnacentral:lncRNA from 1 species